rnacentral:rRNA from 1 species
GUAGUAAAAGGCGGCAGCUCAACUGUCGUAGGCUAUGGAAACUGUCGAACUAGAGUGCAGAAGAGGGCGAUGGAACUCCAUGUGUAGCGGUAAAAUGCGUAGAUAUAUGGAAGAACACCAGUGGCGAAGGCGGUCGCCUGGUCUGUAACUGACGCUGAAGCACGAAAGCGUGGGGAGCAAAUAGGAUUAGAUACCCUAGUAGUCCACGCCGUAAACGAUGAGAACUAAGUGUUGGGGGAAUAACUCAGUGCUGCAGUUAACGCAAUAAGUUCUCCGCCUGGGGAGUAUGCACGCAAGUGUGAAACUCAAAGGAAUUGACGGGGGCCCGCACAAGCGGUGGAGUAUGUGGUUUAAUUCGAAGCAACGCGAAGAACCUUACCAGGCCUUGACAUCCCCGGCGAAGACAUGGAGACAUGUCGGAGGUUAACCGGGAGACAGGUGGUGCAUGGUUGUCGUCAGCUCGUGUCGUGAGAUGUUGGGUUAAGUCCCGCAUCGAGCGCAACCCUUGUGAUAUGCUACUAACAGUAAGAUGAGGACUCAUAUCAGACUGCCGGUGACAAACCGGAGGAAGGUGGGGAUGACGUCAAAUCAUCAUGCCCCUUAUGGCCUGGGCUACACACGUACUACAAUGGCGGCUACAAAGAGCGGCGAACCCGCGAGGGGGAGCGAAUCUCAUAAAGGUCGUCUCAGUUCGGAUUGAAGUCUGCAACCCGACUUCAUGAAGUUGGAAUCGCUAGUAAUCGCGAAUCAGCAUGUCGCGGUGAAUACGUUCUCGGGCCUUGUACACACCGCCCGUCAAACCAUGGGAGUUGGUAAUACCCGAAGCCGGUGGCAUAACCGCAAGGAGUGAACCGUCGAAGGUAGGAUCGAUGACUGGGGUUAAGUCGUAACAAGGUAACCA